CACGGUAAACGAUGGAUGCCCGCUGUUUGCCUUUUUGGUAAGCGGCCAAGCGAAAGCAUUAAGCAUCCCACCUGGGGAGUACGCCGGCAACGGUGAAACUCAAAGGAAUUGACGGGGGCCCGCACAAGCGGAGGAACAUGUGGUUUAAUUCGAUGAUACGCGAGGAACCUUACCCGGGCUUGAACUGCCAGCGAGCGAUACAGAGAUGUUGAGGCCCUUCGGGGCGCUGGUGGAGGUGCUGCAUGGUUGUCGUCAGCUCGUGCCGUGAGGUGUCGGCUUAAGUGCCAUAACGAGCGCAACCCUUCUCUUCAGUUGCCAUCACUUCGGGUGGGCACUCUGGAGACACUGCCACCGUAAGGUGUGAGGAAGGUGGGGAUGACGUCAAAUCAGCACGGCCCUUACGUCCGGGGCUACACACGUGUUACAAUGGCGCGUACAGAGGGCUGGCAUACGGUAACGUGUGUCUAAUCCUUAAAACGCGUCUCAGUUCGGACUGGGGUCUGCAACCCGACC
rnacentral:rRNA from 1 species